UUUUGAUCAGCAAUUUUCUCUGAAAAAGUUUCAUUCUUCUCUGUAAAAAUUUUGAGACUCAAAAUAGCUUUGAAAAUAUCAGAAAUCUACAAUUGCUGUACAAGUGGAAAAUAUGGUUUGAAUAGAAGAUUUUUCUAGCUUCUCUAGUUGGUUUCCUUGGUUCCAAGUUGAUUUUUGGGUUGUUAUUUGAAUCCUGAAUUUUUUUUUGGUUUGGUUGCUGCUGGUAUCUGCUGCUGAACUCCAGUUUUAGAAGAAAUUUUAUUGUUUAUUUUGCCGCUGAAGGUACACAUCCCAGAAUCUCUAAUUGUUUGUAUUUGUUUCUAGAAAUAGGAAGUAUUAAAUUCACUGCAAGCUGUUAGCUCAAAGUUUUGUUGAUUCGUUUUGCUACUUUCCUCGAGAAAUUGCUUGUCGGAUCUCAAAUGCUUUUCAACUAUAUUACUUUGUUGGCUCUAAAUGUACAUUUGCCAAUGUCAAGUUGUUACUGCUAUGAAUUUAGGCAAUACAUCUUAGAGGAUUUCGUGUUCUUCCAUUUUCAUUGAUUUCAGUAUUUAUAUUUAUAUGGUUGAAAUUUGUUUCUUGUUUUCGAAAUUCAUGUGAGAGAUCAGUGGCUCUAAUUUUGAUCCUUGUUCUGUCGUCAGUGGAUUGGUUCGUGAAUGUAGAGUUACACAUUGUUAUUAGUUCUAAUGGAUUGUCUUGGUAGUUUGUCCAUUGAAAUUCUCUGAAUUUUGAGUUAAUUGAACAACAGGUUCUAAUGGAUUGUCAUGGUAGGCGAGUUUGUAAUUUACUUUGCUAAUUAGCACUGUUUGGAAGGUGAAUUAAAUUGAAUGAUGGAUAUUGGAUCCAUGUCACAAAGAUCUGGCUGAUUGUUUGAGUUAGUUUUAUCUGUGUUGUUGCACAAGAAUUUUUAUAGCCUACACGCCCCGCAAUACAUCUCAAAUAUUCAAUUUUGAAUAUCCCUGCUUUAGGCCUGAUUUAGAUUAAUAUUACGAUUAUGUAUACGUUCGUGUAACACAAUUACAAAUUGAAUUAUUAAAAGACUCGAGGGAUGCGUUCGCGCAACCUCAACAAUUUUUUCUUAAUAAUUUAAUGAAAACGUUAUUAAUCGUGGACACGUACGCGUGAUAUGGUUUUUGACGCGCGCAUAACUCAAUUCUUUAAUUACGAGUAAAUCAUAUUUUUAAAGCGGUAAAAAGAUAAUUGCACAUAGGUUUAAAAAUGAGUAGUUAAAUAAUUAAGCCAAAUAUAAAUUGCUAAGCGACCGUGCUAGAACCACGGAAUCCGGGGUACCUAACACCUUUUCCUGGUUUAACAGAAUUCCUUACUUAGAAUUUCUGGUUCAUAGACUCUUUAAAAAUAAAACUUUCUUGAUUUGAGAUUUAAAAUAAAUCGGUAACUUGGAACACCAUAAUUUAUUUCAAGUGGCGACUCUGUAAUUAAUUAAAUAAUUCCAUAUUGAAUAAUGUCACUUAAAGUGAAAAAACUCUUUUAUACUAUCUUUUAAGAUAGAUGUGUAAAAAGGAGGUGUGACAAUUCCUACAAAAUUAAAUGAAGAACUAUUAUCAUAGAUAUACAAAAUAGUAUAUACAGUCCCUCGUUCACAUAGUAUAUGCAGUUUCUCGAAGUUGAGAUCAAUAUCAAUAACUGUACUUCAUCCUAAAAGAGGUUCACUUGGUGUAAUUUCUUUCCCCACCUAAAGAAAAGGAAACUUUAAUUUUUCUUUUUAAAUGAUAUAUUCUGGGGGUAGAUGGUCUUUCAUUUUAUAGGCUAUUAGAAUUUUAUUUUCUCCUAUGUCAAAUUACACAAUUCAUAUGGAAUGACAUUAGCUUCUCACUUCUCAGAUGAACUAUCACAAUAUGGUUUUUUCCUAUGGAUUUCAAUCUUUGACUAUGACAAGAAUUUGAUAAGAAUGGACAUUGGGCCUAACUCAACCCUAAAAACUAGCUUAUGAGGUGAGGUUUGCCCAAGCCAUAUAAGGAGACCAAGGACCUCACAUCCCUCUGAUGUGGGACAACUCAACACCCCUCCCCCCUCACACCCAGAUCUCUGGAGCGUGGACAACAUAAAUGGGGGCCCAACAUCGCUAACAAUAAUCGGGAUGGGUUUGGCUCUGAUACCAUGAAAACAUCGCAAAUCGAAGAUGAAAAUGGAGAUGAGAGAUGAAGAUAUUCAGAGAAGUCUCUCGAACUUCCGAGAGAAAAUGAAAAGUCUUAUUAUCAAAAUAUUUGUCCUCUUUCUCCACUAUAGAGAGGGUAUAUACUAUAUAUCACACUUGGGUCGGGUCAGCCCAAGUGUGAUAAAAGAAAAAUGGGUUCAGAUUUAUGUUUGGCCCAAAAACAACUCAAACAUAUAAUUCACACAAUAUACAAACAGUAUACAAUAAAUAUACAACACAAAAUCAAUGUAUAUGUCUAGGUUUAGAUGCUAGAUAAUCUUGUAGCUCAACAGCCUCCCCCCCCCCUCAAGUUGGAGAGGGAGACCACCUUCAACUUGAACAGCAGAGGAUGUAGGAUAGUGCCAGGCAAAGGCUUUGUGAGAAGGUCAGCCAGCUGACGAGAAGUAGAGACAUGUGAGAGAGUAAUGAGCCCACCAGUCAACAGGUCUCUAACAACGUGACAAUCUACCUCAAUAUGCUUGGUCCGCUCAUGAAAAUAGGAUUCUUGGCAAUAUGUAUAGCAGCCUGGUUAUCACAAAAAACAGAAAAGGGAAGAGAAACAGAAACACCAAUGUAAGAAUCUCUAACAAAGUGACAAUCUACCUCAAUAUGCUUGGUAUGCUCAUGAAAAAUAGGAUUCUUGGCAAUAUGUAUAGCAGCCUGGUUGUCACAAAAAAACAGAAAAGGGAAGAGAAACAGAAACACCAAUGUCAGUGAGCAACCGGGAAAGCAAAGACAAUUCAGCUACCACCUUACUGAGUGCCCUAUAUUCUGCUUCAGCAGAGGAUAAAGAAACUACAGGCUGUUUUUUGGACUUCCAACUAAUCAAGCUGCCUCCCAAAAUAACACAAAAACCAGUAACAGACCUGCGAGUGUCAGAACAGGCAGCCCAAUCACUAUCAGAAUAAGCAUGUAUAGAGAAAUCAGAACUGUCAGAAUAGAAGAGACCCAAAUUUAUAGUGCUCUUAAGAUAUCUGAGGACAUGUAGGGCAGCAGUAUGCCUCCCAAAAUAACACAAAAACCAGUAAUAGACCUUCGAGUAUCAGGACAGGCAGCCCAAUCACUGUUAGAAUAAGCAUGUAUAGAGAAAUCAGAACUGUCAGAAUAGAAGAGACCCAAAUUCAUAGUGCCCUUAAGAUAUCAGGGGACAUGUAGGAAAGCAGUCAUAUGAGGGACUCUGGGACACUUCAAAAAUUGACUCAGAUGCUGAACAGCAAAGCAGAUGUCAGGCCUGGUGUGAGUUAAAAAUAAGAACUUACCAAUAAGGCUCCUAUAGUGAUCAGGGGAGGAGAAGAGGUCACCAGAAUCAGCAUGAAGUUUGACAUUGAGAUCCAAAGGACAAACAACAAGAGAAACAUUCAUACAGUCAAAUUGAUGUAGCAGGUCAGAAACAUAUUUAUGCUGAUUAAGGAGCAUCCCACCAUGAACAACAAACAUCUCUAUGCCCAAAAAAUAAUGCAAAGGCCCCAGGUCUUUAAUCCUGAACUUAUCAUCCAGAAACAGUUUUAGGGCAGAAAGCUCAUCAUUGUCAUCCCCAGUACUAAUAAUGUCAUCCACAUAGACUGCCACAACAACAAGACAACCAGGUUGGCCUUUGAUAAACAGAGAGUAAUCAUUCAAAGAAUGUGUAUAUCCUCUGGAGUAGAGAGCAGAAGACAGAUUAGCAUACCAUUGUCUGGAUGCCUAUCUCAACUCAUAAAGAGACUUUUUCAACUUACAUACAAAUGGAGUAGAGGGCAUAAGACAGUUUAGCAUACCAUUUUCUGGAUGCCUGUCAACCCAUAAAGAGACUUUUUCAACUUACAUACAAGAGGAGGAUAUGCAGAGGAAACAGAAUCAGUAGAAGGAACAGAAACUGAUAAACCUAGAGGGAGCUUCAUAUAGACCUCUCCAUCCAAAUCACCAUGCAAGAACAUUGUUAACAUCAAGUUGAAAAAGAUUUCAAUGGUUCUUAACAGUCACUGCAAUAAGACACUUAACAGUGGACAUUUUAACCACAGGAGAAAAGGUAUCAGUGAAAUCAACUCCUUCAAUUUGAGUAUCCCCUCUAAUAACAAGUCUAGCUUUAUUCUUUCAACACUACCAUCAGCCUUAUAUUUGAUCUUAUAAACCCAUUUGCAGCCUAUGGGUUUCUUACCAGGAGGAACUGGAACAACAUCCCAGGUAUGGUUGGCAUCCAAAGCAUCAAACUCCUUUCUCAUGGAAUCCUACCAUACUAGAACUGAUGCAGCUUGAGAAUAAUAGAGAGGUUCAGAUUCCAGAGGAGGAGAAGAAGAUCCAGAGAAGGCAGGAAGAUGACAGACAUAAUCCUUAAGAUAAGAAGGAGGAUUGUGCUGUCUUCCAGAUUUUUAGAGAACAUUACGUGAUGUGGAAGAGGGAAAAGCAGGAGGAGAAAUAUCAGGGUUGAAAGGAGGACUGAAAACUAGAUUAGAAGAAGGAGAAACUGGGGCAGAAGGAGAAGGAGGAGAGGAACAGAUAGGGACAGACAAGUCUGUCUCAGAAAGGGAAUGCUCAAAAGGAGGAACAAAGGGAAAAGAAGAAGGAGAAACAGAAGGAGUAGGGUUAACAGAAGAAACAAUUUUAAAAGGAAAAGAAUUUUCAUGAAAGACAACAUACCUGGACACAAAGAACUUGUUGGAAGUGAGAUCAUACAGCUUAUAACCCUUUUUAGCAAAAGGAUACCCUAGGGAUACACAGGAAAUGGCCCUAGGUUUCAACUUGUCCUUUUAAGGAAUUGGGACAGCAGCGUAGGCAAGGCAGCCAAAUGCCCUUAAAUGGGAGUAAGUAGGUGUCUUUCCAUGCAAAAUUUCAUAAGGAGAUUUAUUAUGAAGGAGUCUGGAGGGUAUCCUGUUAAGUAGAUAGGUAGCAGUCAACAAGCAAUCUCCCCAGAAAGAGAUUCAUAAGCUAGAUUCAAAAAGUAGGGCUCUACAGGUCUCAAGAAGAGUCAUAUGUUUCCUUUCAACAACACCAUUCUGUUGAGGAGUAUGGGGGCAGGUUGUUUGAUGAAUAAUGCCUUGUUGACUAAAGAAGGAAGCACCAUCAAUGCUAGACCCCAAUUCCAAAGCAUUGUCACAUCUAACAGUUUGAACAACAGCAUUAAACUGGGUUUUAACCAUGCAUAGAAAAGAUUUAAGCAGACAGAAAGCAUUGCUUUUAGACCCCAGUAAAUGUGUCCAGGUUGGUCUAGAGAAAUCAUCAACUAUUGUAAGAAAAUACCUAGAAGCAGAAGAAGUGGGAGUGUGAUAAGGGCCCCAAGUAUCUACAUGAAUUAAUUGGAAAGGCCUACAAGUACUUAUUGUGCUAUCAGGAAAGGGAAGUCUAGUUUGUUUAGCCAUAGGACAUAUAGAACAAGGGAAAGGCUGCUUAAAAGCAAAUGGAAAAGACAAGCCAGAAAUGUUUUUCAUGUUUGCAAAUGAAGUAUGAGCCAGUCUCAAAUGCCAAAUGUAAUUCAUUUCAGCUGUAACAAUAUUAUUACAGAUGGAACUAUUUACAUUUGAAGGUAAAGUAACAACUUUAUGGCUAGAAUAAUAGCCAUGAUUACAAGAGUCAGACAGGGAACAUACAGAAGUAGAUGAACAACUAUUAAAGGAAGAAGGGGAAGCUGGGGCCCAAGCAAACUUGUAUAGGCCAGCCUCCUCUUUACCAAGUUCCAAAGGCUUCUUCAGAGAAGGGGCCUGUAUCAUGUGGAGGAAACAGGACGUUGGAGUGAACAAAACUAUGCAAUGCAACUGUUUUACUAGUUUGUGGACAGAAAUCAAGUUGUGUUUAAAAGAAGGAACAAACAAGACAUUAUGAAGGGUGAUGAAUGGAGUUAAUGCAAAAGAUCCUGUGCAUGCCACUUUCACUUUAUAUCCAUUAGGAAGAGUUACAAGAUAGGGCACAGUUAAGGGUUUAAUGUUAAAGAGUAAAUUUCUAUUAAAUGUCAUAUGGUUAGAUGCCCCUAAGUCUAUUAUCUAUGUGUCAGAAUCAAUGUGAGUAAGCAUGCAAAAUUUGGGUUUCUAUUAAAUAUCAUAUGGUUAGAUGCCCCUGAGUCUAUUAUCCAGAUGGCAGAAUCAAUGUGAGUAAGCAUGCAAAAUUUGGAAUCAGAAACUGGGCUCUCAGUUAGCAUAGUACCAGCAAAAUUGGCAGCAUACAUGGGAGGAGGAGUCUGAAUAAUGGAGUCCCCUAACUGGGUCUGUUGUAACAAGCUCAUCAAUUGGUCAUACUAUUGUCUGCUCAACCCUGGUAUCACAGAACUCUGCCAUCUAUGUUUUUAACAGAGUGAUGGCUUUCAGGAGGAUUCCCUUGGGGAACAGACACAUGUCCAUCAGAAGAAGGGGAAUCCACACCAGCAGUUAGAUGAGCAGCAACAGGUCUCCUCCCCUUGUUAAAUGUUGUACUUUGUGGAAACCCAUGAAUCUUGAAACUAGCAGCAUAUAUUGGAGGAGGAGUCUGAGCAGUGGAUUCCCCUAACUGAGUCUGUUGUAGCAAGCUCAUCAAUUGGUCAUAUUGUUGUCUGCUCAACCCUGGUAUCACAGAACUCUGGGCAUCCAUGUUUGUAACAGGGUGAUGACUAGCAGGAGGAUUCCCAUGAGGAACAGACAUAUUUCCUUCAGAAGAAGGCACAUCCACACCAGUGGAGAUAUGAGCAGCAACAGGUCUCCUUCCCUUGUUAAAUUUGAUAUUUUGAGGAUACCUAUGAAUCUUGUAACACUUAUCAAUUAAGUGCCCAGAUUUUUUGCUGUAUCUACUGAAUAGAGAUCCUCUUGCUGGGUCAAAAUUAACUCUUUGUCUAAAAGGAGAAGAAUUAGGCACUGUGGCCUGAUUGAUCUCAACUGAAUGUUUGUUUGUGUUGACAUUAAAAGACAUAGAGUCUGGACUAAACUAAGAAAUGGACUGAACUUGUCUCUGUUUCUCAUCAUUGAGGACUAUAUUAUAGACAUUGUCAAGGGUAGGAGCAGGCUGCAUAAGUUACUCUUUAACCCCAUGUAUGCUUAUUAAGGACUAUAUUAUUGACACUGUCAAGGGUAGGAGCAGGCUGCAUCAUCAUUAAGUUACUCCUUACCCCCAUGUAUGCUUCAUUAAGGUCCAUGAGAAACUGAAACACCUUAUUCUCAUCAUCUUCCUGUAUGAUUCCAUUUUUGGCAGCACAAAUGCAUCUUUGCCCAUGAUUUGUACACAUUGUUCCUAAUUCAUCCCACAGUCCUUUAAGUUUGUUAAAAUAUGAGGCUACAUUUAGAGAUCAUUGAGAAGUAUGAGAGAGUUCUCUUUUUAGUUCAAAAAUUUUGGUUCUGUUAGCAGUACCAUAUCUAGCUGCAAACUGUGCCCAUAUAUCUAGGGAUCCUUGAUAAGAAUGAGAGAGUUCUCUUUUUAGCUCAAAAAUUUUAGUUAUAUUGGCAGUACCAUAUCUGGACUCAAACUGUGUCCAUAUACUCUGUGCAGUAUCAAAAUACUGCACACUCUCAGCAAUCUGAGGGGACAAGGAGGCAGUUAACCGGAAAUCACCAUAUUAUUACAUCUCUCCCACAACUUUUGUUCAACCACAUUGGUGGCUGGUCGGGGACAGGUACCAUCAACAAAGCCAAUUUUAUUCUUAGCAGACAGCGCGACAAUCAUUUUCCUCUUCCAACCCCAUAACCACUACCCGAGAAGGGAGUGUACACAAGAGAAACUCCAGGAACAUCAGAGGAGUAAACAAAUAAGGGACUGGUAGGAUCAACAGGAGUUCGAGAAUGGAGUGGACACAAGAGAAACUCCAGGAACAUCAGAGGAGCAAAUGAAAAGAGGGCUGGUAGUAUCCACAGAGGAUGUAUUAACACUCAUGUUAGAAGUCAUGAGCAAAAAUGAGCUUAAAAAAAAUCAAAUCAAAAACAGUCUCGGUAAACAAUCUGGAAAGAUAGAGUCGUAUCAGAAUCUUCGAUAGAACUUCCGACACGAUCAAUAAGCAGUGACGGAGAAGCAUCCGAAGAUCGUCCUGCUCUGAUACCAUGAUAAGAAUGGACAUUGGGCCUAACUCAACCCUAAAAGCUAGCUUAUGAGGUGAGGCUUGCCCAAGCCAUAUAAGGAAACCAAGGACCUCAAAUCCCUCCGAUGUGGGACAACUCAACACAUUGCCCAAGCCAUAUAAGGAGACCAAGGACCUCAAAUCCCUUCGAUGUGGGACAACUCAACACCCCCCCCCUCACGCCCAGAUCUCUGGGAUGUGAACAACAUAAAUGGGGGCCCAACAUCGAUAACAAUAAUUGGGAUGGGCAUGGCUUUGAUACCAUGAAAACAUCGCAAAUCGAAGAUGAAAAUGGAGAUGAGAGAUGAAGAUUUUCAGAGAAGUCUCUCGAACUUUCGAGAGAAAAUGAAAAGUCUUAUUAUCAAAAUAUUUCUCCUCUUUCCCCACUAUACAGAGGGUAUAUACUAUAUAUCACACUUGGGUCGGGUCCGCCCAAGUGUGAUAAAAGAAAAAUGGGCUCAGAUUUAUGUUUGGCCCAAAAACAACUCAAACCUAUAAUAUAUACAAAAUGCAAACAGUAUACACUAUAUAUACAACACAAAAUCAAUGUAUAUGUCUAGGUUUGGAAGCUAGAUAAUCUUGUAGCUCAACAGAAUUUUCCCAAACACAAUAUGUACACAAAUUCUAUAUAUUAUCAAAAUUCAAGACCUUAAAGCCCUAGCUCUCCCAAAUUCACACUAGAAACAGCAACAACUUCUCAUUUCAGAAAUAAACUAUCAGAAUCACCAUCAAGGAAUCAAUAAGAAAAAAUAUCGGCAAGAUAUUCAAACAUUGAGCACUGAGUGUCUGAGCAGAAUGGUAAAAGAGAGAACAGGGAAUAGCAAAAGGAGAAGAAAGCUGCAACGAGUGAAUUAAAAUACAGAGCAAGGAGAGAGAGAGUAGUUACAUACCUGAGAAUUUUAAAGGAACAUGGAGAAGAAUUGUUUCCUUCUUGUCUUCUUGAAGAAUCUAGUAUUCCAACUGAUAAAGAGAGAGAGAGAGAGAGAGAGAGAGAGAGAGAGAGAGUUCAAAGGGAGAGACGGUGUAUUUUAUUUUUAGGAAAUUGAUUGUAUAUAUCCCAAAUCCCCCCUAACAGACGUGCACCAUGUUUUUAGACAAUAGGAACUUUAUAUGUAUAUAUAUAUAUAUGUAUAUGUAUAUAUAUAUAUAUAUGUAUAUAUAUAUAUAUAUNNNNNNNNNNNNNNNNNNNNNNNNNNNNNNNNNNNNNNNNNNNNNNNNNNNNNNNNNNNNNNNNNNNNNNNNNNNNNNNNNNNNNNNNNNNNNNNNNNNNNNNNNNNNNNNNNNNNNNNNNNNNNNNNNNNNNNNNNNNNNNNNNNNNNNNNNNNNNNNNNNNNNNNNNNNNNNNNNNNNNNNNNNNNNNNNNNNNNNNNNNNNNAUUUUAAAAGUGUGAAUAUGUAAGAAGUAGAAAUAUAUAUACACCAAGAAAAAGUGUAACUGACAGGGAUUGAACCCUUAACCUGAGGGACGACACGGUCACACAGGGGCACCAACUUACCAAUGCACCAAGGUAGUCAUUUGAGCACGGGUGGUCACAAACAUAUUUAUAUAGAAAAAGUUUAAAAUUAGUACUAUUUAUACAUAGGCUAGAGAGGGGAGCAUGGGUGAACGUACCUCAUCCCCCUCCACAUAAAUCCACCUCUACUUCUAAAAUAGAUUGGUGUUGCUAAGAUUCCCAGAAUAUUUUAGAGUGUAAGGGAGCUAUAUUGAGGUAAUUUAGCUAAACUCCCUUCUUCUUAGAAUCGAAUCCCCCGGUGUCAUAUAAUUGGUGUAAGUCCCAAAUUGAUCAUCAUCAUAUAAUAGGCUAAUCUGAAUGUGUGUGUUGAAGAAUACAAGUUCAAUGUUUAUUCUAAAUGCUUUAUCAUGCCAGUUUGCCAUUGGAGGAUGUGUUCAAAAUGUGGAAUAUGUGUUAAGAAAUAUUAGGACUUCAUGUUAAAGUUGAUUAAAUAUUGUUAUGCCAAAGUGUAUGAAAAAUCUCUAUGUGCCUAGGAUUCCCAUACUGCUCGUAUCUGUACUAAUAUCUUAAAUGAUAUACCUUAGUGUUGAUGAUGAAAAUGAAGUUAAAUGUAAAAAGAGAAAUUGGAAUUGUGAAAUUCGGUCAAGUACCAAGAAUAACUUUAUAAAUGAGGCCACUCGUGAAAAUGUAUUAAAAAUAUGGGAAAGAAAUAUGAAAUGAGAUGAACGAUUGAAAGGGUGGUGUCUCGGGUGAGAUGGCCUAGUUGAUCGGGCCGUAAUCGGACAUCAUACCGUAUACAUGGUGGUAACUAUGCUGGAAAUUAUAAUUAAAAUUAUGGAUAUGGUUGAUGUCUCAAAUGAGAUGACCUAGUUGAUCGGGUCGAGGUCAGACUUCGUGUAAGAACACAGUGGUUUUGUGAAAUGUGUCAUAUCAGUACUAAAGAUCACCCAGCCUAAUAAUAUGGAAAUUGACUUGAAAAUCUAUGUGAUCCUUAACUUGAUGUUUUAGAGUUAUUUGAAGCUCAUAUUGCAUUCUUGAUUGUUCCCCCUGUAUUAGUAUUUAUUCUAUUGAGAUAGUGUUUAGUUUGCGUACUAGUACUCUUUAACGGUACUAACAUCCCUUUUGUCAGGGGUGUUGCAUCUUUAAAUGGAUGCAGCUAGUUUCAUAGCAGACAGUGUUGAUCACAAAUAAUGGCGCGCCUCUUCCACUUCAUUCGAGGGUCAUGUAUUAUAUCUUUUAUUCGUAUUGUUGUCACAUUUUGAGGUAUAGUCAGGCCUUGUAGCCGGCACUAUCUUAGCACUCGUGUGUAUCUUUAGAGGCUCUGUAGACACUAUGAGUUGUAUAUGGGUGUUAGAAAGGUCAAACGAGUUAUGUUGUAUUUUGGACUCUUGUUCACUCAAUCGUAAGGAUGUGCGUAUUUUGAAACUUAAUAAUAAUAUAACUAAUGAAAUGAUUUAUCAAUGUGUGUGUGUGUAUAUUUCAACAACGAAAAAUGUGCCUUCUCUUGAUCGUAAGUCAGUGGGUAGAAAGUAUCAAAUAGGCUUGUGAUAAUAUGUUAUAUGGUUGAUAUUUACACCUUAAUUGCUCAUGCUUUAUUAUUGUUUUAUAAUAUAAAUUGCCAAUAAAAUGCUUUAAAUGGUGCUAUUUGGUUUUGCAAGGAAUAUUAUAUGUGAGGAGACAUGAAGUGUUUGGAGGCAAUAAUGUGAAGAAAACACCCAUUCAAGAAGUACCCAAACAUAAAAGAGCAAAAGAAAAGGAAUGGACAAAAUUCCACCGCGAUCACGGUGGAUAGCGGAGGGGAACGCGGAGAAAAAAACAAAAAAAUGUCCCAGGCAGUGUUCACUGCGGUCCACACCACGACCGCGGUGAACUAUUCACGAUUCAGAAAGUUGAGGGCCAAAGUGUCAAUUUGGGAAAACUUUUGUAUCAUACUUAUAAGAUGUAAAAAACUCGUCCAAGAGAAGGAGGCUGAUUUUGAGAUUACUUUUGCAAGAAGUACAAGUGUGAGAGAUCACCCAAAAUAUCAUAGUUCUUUUUCUCUUCUAUUUUUCUUGCAAUUCUUCUAUUAUGAAUAAUUUAGUAGUUUUAUUUUAUGUUGUUAUGAGUAGCUAAAUACUUUAAUCUAAGGUUUUGGUGAAACCCGUUGGGAAUAACUUAGUUGUUAUAUUAAUAUAGUUUGAAUUGGUU
rnacentral:lncRNA from 1 species